CCCCUAGUAACUGCGAGUGAAGCGGGAAAAGCUCAAAUUUAAAAUCUGGCAGUCUUUGGCUGUCCGAGUUGUAAUCUAGAGAAGUGUUAUCCGCGCUGGACCGUGUACAAGUCUCCUGGAAUGGAGCGUCAUAGAGGGUGAGAAUCCCGUCUUUGACACGGACUACCAGGGCUUUGUGAUACGCUCUCGAAGAGUCGAGUUGUUUGGGAAUGCAGCUCAAAAUGGGUGGUAAAUUCCAUCUAAAGCUAAAUAUUGGCGAGAGACCGAUAGCGAACAAGUACCGUGAGGGAAAGAUGAAAAGAACUUUGGAAAGAGAGUUAAACAGUACGUGAAAUUGCUGAAAGGGAAACGCUUGAAGUCAGUCGCGUUGUCCAGGGAUCAACCUUGCUUUUGCUUGGUGCAUUUCCUGGUUGACGGGUCAGCAUCAGUUUUGACUAUUGGAAAAAGGUUAAGGGAAUGUGGCAUCUUUGGAUGUGUUAUAGCCCUUGGUUGCAUACAAUAGUUGGGAUUGAGGAACUCAGCACGCCGAAAGGCCGGGUUUUUAACCACGUACGUGCUUAGGAUGCUGGCAUAAUGGCUUUAAUCGACCCGUCUUGAAACACGGACCAAGGAGUCUAACAUGCCUGCGAGUGUUUGGGUGGAAAACCCGAGCGCGCAAUGAAAGUGAAAGUUGAGAUCCCUGUCGUGGGGAGCAUUGACGCCCGGACCAGACCUUUUGUGACGGUUCCGCGGUAGAGCAUGUAUGUUGGGACCCGAAAGAUGGUGAACUAUGCCUGAAUAGGGUGAAGCCAGAGGAAACUCUGGUGGAGGCUCGUAGCGAUUCUGACGUGCA
rnacentral:rRNA from 1 species